AUCUGGAUCACUGUGUCACUUUUGAUCGUCUGUUUGCUGAGCCGUAUUUGGUUCCCAUCAAAGAAAGAAUACAGCCACUCCAGAGGAGCUGUGCCCUUGUGCCUGGAAUUGUACUUGUGCUGAAAGGGUCACGGGGAACCGGAGCCUACCCGGCAACACAGGG